rnacentral:tRNA from 1 species
GGAGAGGUACCAAAGCGGCUUAAUGGAACAGCUUGGAAAGCUGUGACUCGAAAGGGUCUCGUGGGUUCGAAUCCCACCCUCUCCGCCA